ensembl:lncRNA
UAAUUUUUCAGCACUGACAAUUGCAAAACCUUUUGUUCCAACUUUUCCCCUCUUUCCCCUCACCCCUUCCCCCAGAUGGCAGGUUGACCAAUACAUGUUGAAUAUGUUAAAGUAUAAAUUAAUUACAAUAUAUGUAUACAUGUCCAUAGAGUUAUUUUGCUGUACAAAAAGAAUCGAACUUUGAAAUAGUGUACAAUUAGCCUGUGAAGGAAAUCAAAAAUGCAGGCGGACCAAAAAUAGAGGGAUUGGAAAUUCUAUGUAGUGGUUCAUAGUCAUCUCUCAGAGUUCUUUCGCUGGGUGUAGCUGGUUCAGUUCAUUACUGCUGUACUGGAACUGAUUUGGUUCAUCUCAUAGUUGAAGAGGGCCACGUCCACCAGAAUUGAUCAUCAUAUAGUAUUAUUGUUGAAAUAUAUACUUCCUGCUCAUUUCACUCAGCAUCAGUUCAGGUAAGUCUCUCUCUCCAGGCCUUUCUGGAAUUAUCCUGCUGGUCAUUUUUUAUAGAAUAAUAAUAUUCCAUAAUAUUCAUAUACCACAAUUUAUUGAGCCAUUCUCCAAUUGAUGGGCAUCCACUCAGUUUCCAGUGUCUGCCCACUACAAAGAGGGCUGCCACAAACAUUCUUGCAUAUACAGGUCUCUUUCCCUUCUUUAAAAUCUCUUUGGGAUAUAAGCCCAGUACAAACUUGAAGAUUUUCAAGAUUUUGUUUCAAUAAAAUAUGAACUCAAUAGAAAACUUAGCAUAAUGAAGAACCAACAUCAAAGACUAUUUCAAAGGUCUCAAAAAGGACCAAUUGUUUAUGUUUCAUACAUGAAAAUAUAAACCAUAUAUCUAAGAUUGACAUUAGUAACUGUGUAGCUCAAAAGGAAAGUUUGGAGGAGCACAGUCAAAUAUGAUUUAACUCUAAAAUGCGUAACAGUCUAGGAAAAGGUAAAAAAAAAAUUAUGCCUUCCUUACAGAGGAAGAACUAACUGACAUGAGGCAUUAGGGGAGGAGGGCUAGUAGUUCUGAAAACCUAUUCACAUUGGGAAUGCGUUAAAUAGGGAAUAUUUUGAAUCCUCCCUGAUGUUUUGUUAGGCACAUGACAGCAUUUUGUUAUUUUCCUUUUUCUGUCUUUUUUGUUUUUUCUUAUUUUGUAUUUGUCUUAAGUAAAUAAAUGCCAUUUAAAUAAAUAUAUAGCACGAAGGAUAUGGCACCUUUCAAAAUCUAUUAAAGAAAUAAUGGGAGAGGGAAUAGUACAAGGGGGUAGAGGAGUAUGUAGAUUUAUGGCAGUGGGACAAGGUGUGAGGACUAAUGGGGAAAGGGAUAAAAAGGAAAGGAAAUGGUAACAUAGGAUAAGGUGGAGUACAGGAUAGUGUUUAGAUUAAUGGAAGUGGGCUAAGUAUGGUUAAUGGGAAUGGGAUAAAGAGGAAGGGAAAUGGUGGAGGGGGGAGAAGAGAGGUUUCUAUGGCGGGGGCAGGAGGGGGGAGGCCAAGUUAAGGAAUAGCAAGGCAAAUUAAGGAGUAAAACUAAUUAAGUAUUAGCAGGGAUAGGAAAUGAGAUAUACACAAAUAUUAAAAAGGAUAAGAAGUAGAAUUUAUUAGGAAAAAAAGUAGGGCUAGUAAUCACUGAUCCCAAGUAA